rnacentral:tRNA from 1 species
CCGGGGGUUAAAUUUGGCUUCUAACCUUAUUUAGAGAGGUUCAAUUCCUUUCUUUUCUAA